UGUUUGUCCAUUCUUUGAGUAGGUGUGAACAGGACAUAAAUAACAGCUGAAGAGCUGCACUGCUCUGAACCUUAAACAGAUCGUCACCAUGUUCUUGUCUGAGGGAAGUGAUGAAGAGGAUGACGAAGAUGACGACGAUGAAAAUUCUAGAGUCUGUUGCCAAGGAUAGACUUCACUCAAUAAAUGCUGGAUCCACAAACUUGCUUAUGCAAGUCGUGUCCUAUUUUCUUAUGGUCAUGUUUAACCAUGAUCCUAAUGAGAAUGGUGGAUUGUGUAAUCAUUCCUUCUGUGUACUUGAAAUGAAAUUCAAUAAGCAGUUGGAAGAUCUGAGCCAGUUAUUGCUGUGACUACGAACUUGAGCAACACACAUGACUCUAGGUUGUAGCAGGACUUACUGGUUGUAUUUUUAGACUGUGUUCAGCAUGUGCUGUUUUCCGCAUUUCUGACAAUAGUCAAAUAGUUCUCAAAAACAUUCCAUGAAAUUUUUAUAUUUCUGGGGUGUGUUUAUGCGUAUUGUAUUGGCUUUUAUGCCUUUUUGUACAAUGUGUCUAGUAUAUGAUACACUCUUAAAAUCAAAGGUUCUUUAUUCUAUUUAACAUAACAACUUUAAACUGGAUAGCAGGUUCUUGAAAAAUGUUAUAUAUCAUUAUUGAGUAUAUUAUAGCAGCAUAUAUAAUUAUUAGUAAAACGUUCACCCUAAACAUAAAGUAUACAUCAUUAAUUCACAUGUACACACCUUUAAAAAUACACUUUAUUUGAUGUGCAAUGCCACCAAUGACCUACACAAACGUCUUUUUAUUCUUAUUUUUGCUAGAGUAGUACAAAUGAGAAAAUAUUCUUUGCACAAUUAUCAGAUGUAGCUUUAACUUACAAACACUGAAUACUGUACUGCAUGCUCUCGCAUAAUGUGUAAAAAGUUAACUAUACUUUGGGCAUAAGGAGCUUGAACUUCUUCUUGGCGGUUCUAGGAUUUCCUCAUUAGGGGAGCUUUUAACCCUUUUUUUGCUGAUAUAAAUUAGAUUCAUUGUAAUUACUAAGUGUUUUCAAACAAUUUAUAUGGGCUGAAUUUAAUCAAAUGUUGCUCAUAAAUGGUUUGCAAUCACUUACCUUAAAAAAAACUGUAAAAUUGAGUAAAUCCAAUUGGCCAUUUUUUUCAGUGUAAUGUUAAAAAUAAAACUUGAUUUAACAUUAUAAUCAUUUAAAGAACAUAAAAUGUUAAUAAAAAAACAAUUGCUACAUUUUUAGAAGGUACGUUAGCUUCUUAUCAAUAAUUUUUACAAACUGAUUUGAGUUAUUUUCGUUAGUUGAUGGAGCCCCCUUUAAAGGGUCUAGAACCACCUCUGGUUUUUAAUAUGACAUCACUGCAAACUUAUAACAUAUUAUAACCUUUAAUUUUAGGAGUGUGGGAUUCAGUCCCAUCGAUUAUCCCACAGGGAGAAAAAAUCUUCUUACACACUGUUUGCCAAUCAGGUUAUUGCAGUGCUGUUAGAAAAAAAGUAUGUUACAAUAUUGGGUAUUUAACCUGUAUUGAAACUGCAUUGUAUGGUAAUCUGGCUAUAAUUGAGUGAUACUGUGUACUUGGUUAAGUGGCAAAGGGAUCAUUAGCAAGUAAUUUUGACUAUGAUUAAUGAUCAAUGUUUCCCCAUUGUGAUGUGACAUUUUGCUAUCUAAUGAGCUACACCGUAAAACUCCCCAUAAUACAUG